ACGGGGUGCGCAGCCAGAGCCACUCCUGGCCACUCCAUGUCGAAGCCAAAUGGUCAAUUGCCCAAGAGUUACAGCAUGGGAUCAUCAAUAUCCAACGACAAUGACGAUUACAUGGAGCUUAUAAGGGCUGCCUCCGUCAGAAGCCUUGGUCACAAGAAUGAAAUCGACAUGUUAUUGCAGCAAAUGAAGCAGGAAUCAAUGUCAUCGAAACAGUUGCCCAAGAGUUGCAGCGUUGGGAUGGGAUUCAUGGGUAGGAUUGAUGAAGAGAAGCCGUCUGAUGAAGAAGUCAGUGGCCAUGGUGCGAAUAAGAAAGCAGCAAAGGCAGAGUUGUA
rnacentral:misc_RNA from 1 species